rnacentral:rRNA from 1 species
UGGGGAAUUUUGGACAAUGGGCGAAAGCCUGAUCCAGCAAUGCCGCGUGUGUGAAGAAGGCCUUCGGGUUGUAAAGCACUUUUGUCCGGAAAGAAAUCCUUGGCUCUAAUACAGUCGGGGGAUGACGGUACCGGAAGAAUAAGCACCGGCUAACUACGUGCCAGCAGCCGCGGUAAUACGUAGGGUGCAAGCGUUAAUCGGAAUUACUGGGCGUAAAGCGUGCGCAGGCGGUUUGCUAAGACCGAUGUGAAAUCCCCGGGCUCAACCUGGGAACUGCAUUGGUGACUGGCAGGCUAGAGUAUGGCAGAGGGGGGUAGAAUUCCACGUGUAGCAGUGAAAUGCGUAGAGAUGUGGAGGAAUACCGAUGGCGAAGGCAGCCCCCUGGGCCAAAUACUGACGCUCAUGCACGAAAGCGUGGGGAGCAAAACAGGAUUAGAUACCCUGGUAGUCCACGCCCUAAACGAUGUCAACUAGUUGUUGGGGAUUCAUUUCCUUAGUAACGUAGCUAACGCGUGAAGUUGACCGCCUGGGGAGUACGGUCGCAAGAUUAAAACUCAAAU